GCCGGACCUGCUGAGUUUGUUUAGCAUUGCUUCGUUUUCAUUUCAGAUGUUCAGAAUCCACAGUUUAUUUUGCUGUGGGCUAUUUUGGAACAUGCUCAAUUCCACUGCUGUCUUUGUAAGAAAUAGAAGUCACCUGCACUUACACAGUUGAUUUAUUUUCUGUUGCUAAUGCCUACAGAAUCAACAGAGAAGCUCUGAUACUUCUCAUCAUGGAUCCUUUUAAGAACUGGGGAAUCUCACCAGGAUUGCUGCUAGCCUGAGGAAGUAAUUGAAGGAGGCUUUGAGCUGUGAGCUACAUAUGAGAAGGGACAGGAUUGUAAGCGAGUGCUUAGAAGGCACCAAUGAGCAUCCAAACAAUCUCCACCCUGAGCUGGGGUGUCCUUCCAGUUAAAACCUCCUCCUCUAAGGAAGAAGAUACAGAUGCCUCAGGAGGGGAACAGCAAGGCUGUCUCCUGCACCGUCCAUCAGCUUAGACACUGACACCUCAGUCAAUACCUUAUGUAGAUUAAAGUCAGGAGACAUUCUGGUGGGCACCAGACUGCUGCGUCUCCACAGCUGGUUGAGGAAUGACUGUCCCAGGUCGCUGGCACUCAGAGGAUUGCCAGAAGCCAGAAACCAUCUCAAACCCAGGCAGGAGAGGAGCCAAUAGUGUUGGCCAAUAAUAACUUCACUAACAUGCACAAGGGGGCAUAGGAGCAAGAGGCAGUUUCUCUGAGACACAUAGAAAGCUGGUUAAAAGCGUUGCAGGAUUCCACAAUCUGUACCUUGCCAGUUCUGGUAUGUGUUAGGAGAAGAAUAAUUGGAGCAGGCUUUAUUGCUGGUGGUAGAUUUAAUAAUCUUUCUGAAAACUGAAGGAAGUGCUUGGAGACAGUUAGUCAAAGUUACUACUCAGUGAAGCAGAAAGACUAACUCUCAUUGGGAGCAACUGUGGAAUUUUGUUAUAAGGACUGCAAUUCUGUGGGGAAAGGAAUAAAUAUAAAAGAAAAUGCGCCUUUCUGUAGUUUAAAGCAUCAUUUUCUGCCAGAAAAUAUGUAGUGUUUAGUCUAUAGUGCUUUUAGCAAUUUAUUGCAAUCAAAAUUUUAUACUAUGAAUUGCCAUUCUUUCAGCUAUCAACUGGAAGUUUGAAUCUCUUUUUAACGGACUUGGGUGGCACACUGGAAAUUAAGCUCCACUAUUCCUGGAAUCAUCAUAAAAAUUCAACCAAAGUAUGCAAAGUCCCAGAUUAGCUUGUUUGAUAGCAGAAAACAGAACUGAACAGAAUUCUGCACUUAACAAGAACUACUUAUUAUUGUGAAAAUAAUACUCUAACCAUAGAUAAAGAGCCAUGAGCUGCUGACAUAUACCCUAAUAGUUAACACCCGUUCUAAGCAUUCUGCAACACCCCCACCAUACACAUGUACACAGAUAGAUGAGAAAAGCAUUGUAUAACAGAUGGAGACAAACAAAUAAUGGGGAAAUAGUUCAAUAGCACCAAUCCACAGGAUUCAAUAGAGCGUUUCUUUUGUUUCCCAAGUCCUUCAGUUCUCAGAUUCUUUUCUGUUAGGUUCUCUCACUUCUUUACAGGAGACACAGAGCAACUGGUUCAUGAAGUGUAUUUUAUAUGAUGAAUUAUAUUGGUUAAAAGCAAUGUUUAACAGUAAUUGGCUGGGAGAAAAUAAAUUGGUUU